rnacentral:lncRNA from 10 species
CUCCCUUUCCUUCCUUCUACUCCCCCUUCUCCUUCCAGCCCUCCCCUCCUCCCUUCCAGCCUCCUCUCCCUCCCCCAUCCACUCUUCCUUCUUCCUUCUCCCUGCUCCCCUCUCCUCUGCUUCCUCCGUUUCUCCUUCCCCCUCCUCCCCUCCCCUCGGUGCUAACAGCUGUAAUUGCUGUUUCUCCCACCUCCCUAACAAGCACGGGACCCUCCGAGCAGAGCCGCCCGCAGUUCCGCUCAGUAAUCGCCUCCAUGGAGUUUGGUCAAGGACUUUCAACUUCAGGAAGGAGCUCAACGCAGCCAGCACCUUGAUCGGCACCGUGGGAGAAGGUGGAAAGAGGACCCAGUCAAGCCACUCCUGAGCCACGGAAGCCGGGAGACAGUGCCUGCGUGUUGCUGUAAGCUGCCACAGGAAACCAGGAAACUUAUCAAGCACCCGCUUUCCAGAUGGGGAAAUCAAGGACCGGAGUUUCAAGGGAAUUCUCCUAGAGAACCCAGAGGGGUUCUCAUCACCGUCCGUAAUGCCAUAUUUUCUCCUGGAAGUUUUUGGCUUUGUACCUAUUCUUCUCUCUCCUGGACUAUGAACUUUGAGGAGGCAGGGGCCCGAUCUGUCCCGGCCGGUGGCCCCAGCAUCCAGCACAGAGCCUGGGGCACAGCAGGUGCAUGGUGACUGGGGGCUGGGUGAGUGAGUGAGUGAAUGAAUGAAUGCAUGAAUGAAGGAGUGAAUGCACAGAGGCCCCUGCCUUCCUGCCUCCCCGUCGCCAUGAGAGAAAGGAAGCAAAAUUUCAAACAACUCAAAGAUGUAUCAGCCUGGAGCCGCGGGAAACACCAGCUCCCCUGGCAGGGUGCAUCGACCCACGGUGGGGCGGGCAGGCGUCCGGCUUUGUGCAGGCGGAGGUAGGAGGGCUCGAGAUGGGGAGGGGGGCUGCACCAACCCGCUCGGUGGCGAUCAAAACGCGCCCCCACUCCCUGCCUGGGCUUCAGCGGCCAAGUGCAUGGGGUCUGCCGAUGGAGGCUGCGGGGGCUGGAGGGGGGCGAACAGCUUCUGCAGCGGCCAGGACAGAAAAGCUCUCUCUCCCGACACACAAAAGCAGGAAGGCCACAUUAAGCCCAUUAUCAAUAUUUUGCCUGGAAAAAAUACAAAAAGCAUUUUCUUCUCUGAAAAAUUAAUAACCUCGAAAGGUGGGGAGGCUGGGUUUGAUGUCUGGUGAGUGGAGGGGGGGGUUGGUGAGGCUUUGCUUUCUGCCUCCCUCGCCGCUCGCCCCGUGGGUGCCUGGGUCCCUCUGGGCAGGCCCGGCUCCUCCAGCCCACCUCCAACUGCCACCACCUGCUCCUAGUCCUGGCUGAGGCCCCAGCAAACCUUGGGCUGUGAGCCGGGCUCACCAGCCUGGCUCCAAGCCUGGGUCUUCCAGAUCCACCAUUACAGUCCCCUCUGAGGAGGUGGCAUCCCCCAACCUGAGCCCAGGUGUCAGCCCCUCUCGACUCUGUCCACAUGGGCCAUGUUCUCCUAGCUCUUGCUAAGAAACUCCUACUCUACCUGCAGAACCCAGCUUCAAUGCCCACUCUACCGCAGGGCCUUUACUUCCUCUUCCCCUAGACUCAGGUCUCUCCCUCUGGCCCAGUUCUGGGUCCCUUGUCUUCCCUGACCCUGGGGGGGCUUCCUGGGGGCUCUGGCUCUCUUCCAGGACCUCAGCAACACCCUGCACAGUGCACCAUUAUAAUUUGGAGAAUGGAUGGGGCUCCUUUUUUUUAUUUUUUUGAGACGAAGUUUCACUCUUGUUGCCCAGGCUGGAGUGCAAUGGCACGAUCUCAGCUCACCACAACCUCUGCCUCCCGGGUUCAAGCGAUUCUCCUGCCUCAGCCUCCAGAGUAGCUGGGAUUACAAGCGCCUGCGACCACGCCCAGCUAAUUUUUUGUAUUUUUAGUAGAGACGGGGUUUGUCCAUGCUUGCCAGGCUAGUUUCGAACUCCUGACCUCAGGUGAUCCGCCUGCCUUGGACUCCCAAAGUGCUGGAAUUACAGGCGUGAGCUGCCGCGCCUGACUGGGGCUCCUUUUGGUGGGUGGAAGUCUUCCUUGGAAGCCCCCUUCCCUCCUGGCCUCCUCUUGCCCAUGAGGCCCUUCAUCCUGGAGAGAAGAUUCUGGAAUCUGGCUGGUGGGAGGGGCAUAAUUCUUCUCAGGCCUCAGGUUCCAUUUUAAUAAAACUAGGGGGUUGGAUCUGAUUUUAAAUUUUGAAAUGAU